rnacentral:rRNA from 1 species
AACGAACGCUGGCGGCGCGUUUUAAGCAUGCAAGUCGAACGGUAGAGGGGAGCAAUCUCCUUGAGAGUGGCGAACGGGUGAGUAACACGUAGAUGAUCUACCCUUGUUUUGGGGAUAGCUCGUGGAAACACGGGGUAAUACCGGAUACGCUCGAAGAGCUAUAGCUUUUUUGAGGAAAGGACGCGGAUGCGCCGAACGAGGAUGAGUCUGCGGCCCAUUAGCUAGUUGGCGGGGGUAAAGGGACCCACCCAAGGCGACGAUGGGUAGCCGGCCUGAGAGGGUGAACGGCCACACUGGGACUGAGAUACGGCCCAGACUCCUACGGGAGGCAGCAGCUAAGAAUCUUCCGCAAUGGGCGAAAGCCUGACGGAGCGACGCCGCGUGGACGAUGAAGGCCGAAAGGUUGUAAAGUCCUUUUCUCUGUGAAGAAUAAGUGGGGGAGGGAAAUAGCCCUUAUGAUGACGUUAGCAGAGGAAU